rnacentral:rRNA from 1 species
AUUGAACGCUGGCGGCAGGCCUAACACAUGCAAGUCGAGCGAGCGACGGACGGGUGAGUCAUGUCUGGGAAACUUCCAGAUGGAGGGGGAUAACAACUGGAAACGGUAGCUACUACCGCAUACCAUCAGAUGUUCCCAGAUGUGAGUCGCUGGUAGGUGGGGUAACGGCUAACCUAGGCGACGAUCCCUAGCUAGUCUGAGAGGAUGACCAGCCACACUGGACCUGAGACACGGUCCAGACUCCUACGGGAGGCAGCAGUGGGGAAUAUUGCACAAUGGGCGCAAGCCUGAUGCAGCCAUGCCGCGUGUGUGAAGAAGGCCUUCGGGUUGUAAAGCAAUUUCAGCGGGGAGGCGUUACCCGCAGAAGAAGCACCGGCUAACUCCGUGCCAGCAGCCGCGGUAAUAC